GUGGUGGUAGCGUAGUGGUUAACGAGUUGGGCUAGCGUCUGACAAGUUGUGGGUUCAAUUCCCGGCUUCCACC
rnacentral:tRNA from 1 species